AUAUAAAAAAAUCUUUAAAUAUAAAAAAAUGUAAAUUUUUUAGAAAAAAAAUAGUGCUAUUAUCCUUUUCUUUUUCUGUUUUUUUUUUUUUUUUUUGUUUAAAAGUCAGCCCAAGCCCAAUAAGACUUCUUCUAGGGUAAGACGUAGUCUUCUUCUCCACAUGACGAGACCGCCGCUGAAACUUGAAGCAACUCAACUCAAUCAAUUGAUUAAAUCCCUUCAUUGACUCUAUUCACCAUCUUCUUCAGUCACCAAGUUUCCCUCCGAUGUACUUCUGCUAUAAGCUCCUCCGAUAGUCGUCGUUUGUUUCUCUGACGGACCUCUGCUAUUCGGCGCGACCACGCCUCUCUCUGGCCGUCGGUAAUCACUCCGUUCACUUUCCUUCGCUCUAAUAAUCUUCAAAUGAGUUCAUCAUUUUUGCUUGGUAACUCCGAACGAUGAACUCUACAAUCCAUACCAGAUCUGAUUGGCGUUACGAACGGCGAAGUGUCGACCGCCGCUAGUGUCAGAUGUUGGUGUUCUUCGAGCCAAGAAUGUCGUCUCCGACUUCAGUGCUGCGCAAGCUGCCAUCAUUGACGCAGAUCGAACCGAAAUCAUUUGCGAUCUAUGUGGAUCAAACCUAAUGGAAACUUCGCUGCUAUCCAGAAUGUAGCCGAAAAGGAUUGUCGACACUGUCCACAGCUCCAAUCAGAAUCACUAAUGGAUUCCCCACUCUCUCUGGUUCACUUGCGCCAUUGAUGAUGUGGUUCUAGAUCUCCACAGAGAAGUAGUUGACUCUUGAGAUUAAGGAUCCGACAAUGCCUCCGUGGAUGUGCAGUAGUUUUCUGAAACGCUAAGAUGUGAGGACGCUGGUUCGACAGGAUUGUCGAUGUGAUCGUCGACCUGUGUAGAAGUUGUUUUAUUCAUGCGGAAGUUUAAUUCUCAUAAUCCAUUUGUCCCCUCUCAAGAUGGUCUGGACUUUGAGUCCAGACUUCCAAGUAUUGGAUCCAUCAACCAUAUAAUCCAUCUGUGUUGGUUUCUAGUGGCACAAAAGAAUCUGGUACCUUAACUUUUUUAUUCACUUAUAUGCUAUAUGUUAUUAACCAGGCAAUUUGAUUUACAGUAUAGUCACAUACUGAUAAGAUUAGUGAUUCAGUAUGAUUAUUUGUUAUUGUUUACUAUUUUCUUGGGGAAACAAUAUUGUAAUUGUUAAUUUAUGUAAUGUGCUCGUGUGUUUUAUUGAGUUGCAAUGCCAUAGCAGCUUCUGAACCCCUAGUUGUGCUGGUCAAUCUUAAUAAUAUUUGCUUGUUGUGUUUUGAUUCAUAUUAAAUUGUAAGUGUGGGAAAGAUUAUGAUUCUGGUACAAUAGCACAUAUCUACAGAAUCUAAUGUACUUGAGUUGAGUUGUAUACAUUAACACAGAUCAAAAUAAUAUCGAUCCCAUGUUAUUUGUAUGUGUAUGUGUGAGAAUGUUUAGUAAAAGUUUCUAUAUAUUGAUCACUUGAGUGAAAUUAAUUGAUAAAAGAUGGUUAGUAUGUGUUUAUUUUUGUACAGAAUUUUUAGUGUAACUCAUGUUUAAUAUGAUAGAAAAAUUAGAGUGUUUAACAACCUUAUUAUGUAUCUAAUGUUUGAUGAUUAUUGAUUCCA